GCUGACUCUCUUUUCAGACUCAGCCCACUUGCACCCAAGUGAAUUAACAGCCUUGUUGCUCACACAAAGCCUGUUUAGGUGGUCUUCUAUACGGACAUGCUUGACACUUGGUGCCAAAAUCUGGGCCAGGGGGACUCCUUCGUGAGACCGGCCCCCUGUCCUGGCCCUCAUUCCGUGAAGAGAUCCACCUGCGACCUCGGGUCCUCAGACCAGCCCAAGGAACAUCUCACCAAUUUCAAAUCGGAUCUCCUCGGCUUAGUGGCUGAAGACUGAUGCUGCCCGAUCGCCUCAGAAGCCCCUUGGACCAUCACAGAUGCCGAGCUUCGGGUAACUCUUACGGUGGAGGGAUCUGCAAUCAGAACUAUUGAACUUCUCCAUUCAGACCGCCACUCACACCUAUGGGAAAAGGGUGUCCACGCAGUCCCUGGUCACACUUGAAGCAGUCCGGAGAAAUAUCAGCCCUACCCCAGUAAUCCCCAGAAGGAACUUACACUUUUUUUUAAUCUUUUCCUACAACUUCAUAUUUUAUAAAUAAAAAGACAAAAAUGUCAGGCCUGUGAGCUGAAGCUUAGCCAUUGUAACCCCUGUGACCUGCACAUAUCCGUCCAGGUGGCCUGCAGGAGCCAAGAAGUCUGGAGCAGCCGAAAAACCACAAAGAAGUGAAACAGCCAGUUCCUGCCUUAACUAAUUAACCCACCUUACGACAUUCCACCAUUAUGACUUGUCCACCAUUAUGACUUGUUCCUGCCCUGCCCCAACUGAUCAAUCAACCCUGUGACAUUCUUCUCCUGGACAAUGAGUCCCAUCAUCUCUCCACCAUGCACCUUGUGACCCCCUCCUCUGCUGAGGAUAACCACCUUUAACUGUAACUUUCCACGCCUACCCAAGCCCUAUAAAGCUGCCCCUCUCCUAUCUCCCUUCACUGACUCUCUUUUCGGACUCAGCCCACUUGCACCCAAGUGAAUUAACAGCCUUGUUGCUCACACAAAGCCUGAUUGGGUGUCUUCUAUACGGACACGCGUGACAGGAACCUCAACCCAAAGGCAGUCUGAUGAGGUGUCUAAGAUAAAAGUAGCGGCACAAAGGCUUUUGUAAACAGAGGCGUUUCAUGUGGUUUUCCUUUCCUUUCCUUAUAUGUGAAAAGGUGACAGAAAAGAAAUCUUCCUAAAAGAGUCA
rnacentral:lncRNA from 1 species